GUCGCUUGUAACUGGUACGGCAUUAAUGAACUGUAAAAGCAUCAGCAUCACUUUAAAAGAUCUUGUUGAUAUGUCCAAUAUAAUUCACUUAUAUGGAUCGCAGUUAGGCAGUAAACUAAUUCAAUUUUAUAGUUCUAAGUUUGGGAUUGAUAUACUGUCAAAGUCCAUUCAUCUAGUAGGUCAAUUUAUAAAUUUCCAUAAAUGGUUAAAAUCAGUUGGAAUAUCAAUUUCACAAUAUAAUGAUGUAUCCACACUAUAUUGCAAUGUAAAUCCUGUAUAUGAUGUUUCAAAUAUAAAUACUCCUAGAAUUAUUCAUUUGUUUACAUUCCAUAUCAUGCACAUGUUGACGGUAAAAAUAGUUCAGGUAGUUGUUGGUUUAUACAAGGUCAACACAUCAACCUUAGAUGUUGAAUC
rnacentral:lncRNA from 1 species